CAAGUCAGAUGUGAAAGCCUUCUGUUCAACGGAAGAAUUGCAUCUGAAACUGCUAAUCUUGAGUAUAGGAGGGGAGAAUGGAACUUCUGGUGGAGCGGUGAAAUGCGUAGAUAUCAGAAGGAACGCCGGCGGCGAAAGCGAUUCUCUGGCCUAUUACUGACACUCAGUGUGCGAAAGCUAGGGGAGCAAACGGGAUUAGAUACCCCGGUAGUCCUAGCCGUAAACGAUGGGCACUAAGUAGAGGGAAUUACCUAUAUUCUCUUUGCCGUAGCUAACGCAUUAAGUGCCCCGCCUGGGGAGUACGGCCGCAAGGCUAAAACUCAAAAGAAUUGACGGGGGCUCGCACAAGCGGUGGAGCAUGUGGCUUAAUUCGAUGCAACGCGAAAAACCUUACCGGGGCUUGACAUGAUAGAAGUAGGAACCUGAAAGGGGGACGAACGGUAUCCAGUCCGUAGCUAUUACAGGUGUUGCAUGGCUGUCGUCAGCUCGUGUCGUGAGACGUUGGGUUAAGUCCCCUAACGAGCGAAACCCUUGUUUUUAGUUACCAGCGGGUUAUGCCGGGUACUCUAGAAAGACUGCCGUCGUCAAGACGGAGGAAGGUGGGGAUGACGUCAAGUCAUCAUGGCCCUUAUGCCCCGGGCUGCACACGUGCUACAAUGGUCGGUACAGACGGAAGCGAAG
rnacentral:rRNA from 1 species